rnacentral:misc_RNA from 1 species
AGUUUAAAGAUGUGUUACAUCAAUUACAUUCAAUAUACAUAUGCGUAUGAUUUUAUGUGGAGCAGACAGACGCCCGAGGGCACUUCCGUCUUCACGAGUGCACAGGUGUGUGUGGAUGAAAGAGAAGGCGUGCACAUGCCCAGCAGAGAGGGCCAGCGACAACCAACUCUACAUUCGUUCAAUAAUGAUCCUUCCGCAGGUUCACCUACGGAAA